UCUUCAACACGGGAAAACUUACCCGGCCCGGACACUGGGAGGAUUGACAGAUUGAGAGCUCUUUCUUGAUUCGGUGGAUGGUGGUGCAUGGCCGUUCUUAGUUGGUGGAGCGAUUUGUCUGGUUAAUUCCGAUAACGAACGAGACUCUAGCCUAUUAAAUAGGUGGGGGGUUUACCCAGCACCUCCACCAGAUGUCACGAAGCCAAGGACGACGCAGUUGUCUUGCAGGAGAAACAAGUUUAUUGGAGCGAACUUGUGCUCCCCUAACAACUCAAA
rnacentral:rRNA from 1 species